GAGGUCGUGGCUCAGUGGUAGGGCACCCUCCUCACAUGUGUGAAGCACUGGCUUCGAUCCUCAGCACCACA
rnacentral:tRNA from 1 species